rnacentral:rRNA from 1 species
UACCGAGGUCCCAAGCGUUGUUCGGAUUCACUGGGCGUAAAGGGUGCGCAGGUGGUCGGGUAAGUCUGACGUGAAAUCCCGCAGCUUAACUGCGGAAUGGCAUUGGAUACUAUUCGGCUAGAGGGUUGGAGGGGGGACUGGAAUUCUCGGUGUAGCAGUGAAAUGCGUAGAUAUCGAGAGGAACACCAGUGGCGAAGGCGAGUCCCUGGACAACUCCUGACGCUGAGGCACGAAAGCUAGGGGAGCAAACAGG